CUUCAUUGAUUGCUCCCGCCUUUUGCGGCUCUACUUGAAAUGUUGUGAAUAUUGUUUCAUCUGAAAGUACGAUUGUCAAGGAUGGUGAGGUUAUUUCGGGAUGUGGAAGAAUAAAAUAUUUUUUGUUUGAAAGGUAAUUAGCAAGGUAAGCAGUAAGCUUAUCUUUAGUUCGAAAUUACUUCUUUUAAUUGCAGCAGUAAAAAUUGCAGCCAAUUUAGACGUAGUCCCAAUUGUUGUUGUUGUUGAUCAUUCCUGUGCAAUUCCAACUAUAGCAGGUGGAUAUAAAUGCGUCAAAUUUAAUAUUGUAUUUGAAUUUGCAUAUAAUUACAGCUGCAGUGCUAUUGUAACCACAAACAACUAGAAAGUCUCUCAGGCAUGUUUGCUUUAUUGAAAGUGGAGAGCGGUGAAAUGAUAUUCAAUCGUAAAUUAUUGCUUU